CGUAGGGUGCGAGCGUUAAUCGGAAUUACUGGGCGUAAAGUGUGCGCAGGCGGCCGAGCAAGUCGAGUGUGAAAGCCCCGGGCUUAACUUGGGAAUUGCGCUCGAAACUACUUGGCUGGAGUGUGGCAGAGGAAGGUGGAAUUCCACGUGUAGCGGUGAAAUGCGUAGAGAUGUGGAGGAACACCGAUGGCGAAGGCAGCCUUCUGGGCCAACACUGACGCUCAUGCACGAAAGCGUGGGGAGCAAACAGGAUUAGAUACCCUGGUAGUCCACGCCCUAAACGAUGAUGACUAGUUGUUGGGGGAGUUAAAUCCCUUAGUAACGCAGCUAACGCGUGAAGUCAUCCGCCUGGGGAGUACGGUCGCAGGAUUA
rnacentral:rRNA from 1 species